GACGAACGCUGGCGGCGUGCUUAACACAUGCAAGUCGAACGGAAAGGCCCUGCCUUUGUGCGGUGCUCGAGUGGCGAACGGGUGAGUAACACGUGAGUAACCUGUCCUUGACUUUGGGAUAACUUCAGGAAACUGGGGCUAAUACCGGAUAGGAGCUCCUGCUGCAUGGUGGGGGUUGGAAAGUUUCGGCGGUUGGGGAUGGACUCGCGGCUUAUCAGCUUGUUGGAGGGGUAGUGGCUUACCAAGGCUUUGACGGGUAGCCGGCCUGAGAGGGUGAGCGGCCACAUUGGGACUGAGAUACGGCCCAGACUCCUACGGGAGGCAGCAGUGGGGAAUAGUGCACAAUGGGCGGAAGCCUGGUGCAGCAACGCAGCGUGCGGGAUGACGGCCUUCGGGUUGUAAACCGCUUUCGCCUGUGACGAAGCGUGAGUGACGGUAAUGGGUAAAGAAGCACCGGCUAACUACGUG
rnacentral:rRNA from 1 species